AAGCUCAGAGCGGCAGCGGGAAAGUAGCUUGCUACUUUUGCCGGCGAGCGGCGGACGGGUGAGUAAUGCCUGGGGAUCUGCCCAGUCGAGGGGGAUAACAGUUGGAAACGACUGCUAAUACCGCAUACGCCCUACGGGGGAAAGCAGGGGACCUUCGGGCCUUGCGCGAUUGGAUGAACCCAGGUGGGAUUAGCUAGUUGGUGUGGUAAUGGCUCACCAAGGCGACGACCCCUAGCUGGUCUGAGAGGAUGAUCAGCCACACUGGAAAUGAGGCACGGUCCAGACUCCUAAGGGUGUCAACAUUGCCGCC
rnacentral:rRNA from 1 species